GCUGGCGCAGCAAGGUGAUGCUGGUGGCCGACAUUUCCUGAAUGUCGAUAUUGCCCCGCAGAACGGCGGAUCGGUUCCAUUCGAACGCCAGCCC
rnacentral:tRNA from 1 species